ensembl:lncRNA
GCCUGUGUCUCUCAGGCCAACUGUGCAGACUGCGUUUUCGAGUGAAUUCUCCUGUCGGGGCCCUAAACGACAUCAUGCUCACACAGUGAGACCUGGACAUCUGGACUUUUUUUCACUGAUUGUGUGUCUGACAUGGACACACACAGCUGGCUGGGUUGGCACACAGGUUGUGCAUCGUGAACAAAGCCUGGAGUCUGGGAAGGCACAGAUGAGGCCAGAAGACUGGACGUGGGACCUGGGCUUUAUCUAAGGAUUGGGGAUAGGAGUUGGUUCCUGGGCCUGGGAUCGUGAACUUGCUUGACCCUGGCAGCAAGACGGAGAAGUUGUUCUUGAGAUGACUGGACUCAGACAGCUGUUUGCCUACAACAGAAGCCGUUCAGCUAUUGGCCUUCCUCUGCAUUAGGGAGAGUGCUGCUUUGCUCUGGUUGAAAUCCAUCAUUUGAUGGACAGACACGGUGUUUUCAUUCCCUGGCUGUUGGAAUAGGAUAGCAGUGAACAUGGAUGACCAGGCCUCUCUAUAACAGACUACAGAAUCAUGGAUGACCAGGCCUCUCUACAGCAGAAUACAGAAUCAUGGAUGACCAGGCCUCUCUACAGCAGAAUACAGAAUCAUGGAUGACCAGGCCUCUCUACAGCAGAAUACAGAAUCAUGGAUGACCAGGCCUCUCUACAGCAGAAUACAGAAUCAUGGAUGACCAGGCCUCUCUAUAACAGAAUACAGAAUCAUGGAUGACCAGGCCUCUCUAUAACAGAAUACAGAAUCAUGGAUGGCCAG